UAGUGUCGGCAUCACAUGGACAGCCAAAGGGAGGAAUGGUCAGCACUUCUCUUCGUAAUGUUUCAAUGUCGUAUUCUCAUACAGGACAAUAUCCAACUUCAUCGUGGCAGACUGACAAAGAAGCAGACAGAGACCUCUGGUGAUAGACAUUUUCAGACACCUGCACCAUACAAUCCAAUCCUGUUGCAGCAACAUAAUCAGAAGCUCUGAGUUUGACUAGCUCAGGACUCCCCCAUGUGGAGAAAACUGUCACAGGAAAAUAAGAAGAGCAACACUUCAUACAGUCGCAUCACCUUCAAAAUGAAGAACACAGUCCAGACAUCUGCCAGACGGACCACGUACAAUAAAGGUCUAUAGCACAUUCACUAACUAUUGAACAGUGGAAUGAAGAGCAGAACGGUCAAUAGAGAGUCACCAUCUGUCCAGGCGGCUUAAAGACACUCAGAUGAAACAGGCGCCUCCCUGGAUCAAAGUCAUGGGGCCAGUGGGGGCCAGAAGGGCCCGUGUCCAGUGGGAAACCCCCGGGUGUUUCCUCGGACAACGCCCCAGAUUGGCCCCGAGGACAGAGGAGGGUGAUGUUGUUGUGGGAAUAAUCCCUUCAUCACAGCCAGCUGUGAGCCAGUCAGACAUGCAGACAGAGAAAGCAGGCUCCAUCACCUGUCAGCCUGGACUGCCCAGGGCCUGGACACCAGGAAACAGCUCCAGUGUCCACUGCCUGCAUGACCGACAAAACUCACAUGCCUGAGAUGUUCACCAUAAGGUGGCACUGACUAGAUGAAGCCAUGUGGACACUGGCAUACAGGGUGUUGGUAGCGGAGUGUGAGUCGUAAAGAUGCUGCAUUCCUACUCACAUUCUUGUCAUGUGUGAAUUUCUGAAACCCAAAAUGUCCUCCUUAUCAGUCUUAAUGUCAAAGUGCAUUAUGUACUGUAGCUGAACGUGAAACAGUGCAGGGAGAGGGCCAACGUGUCAACUGAGUUCAGUUGAAUUACUGCAAAUAUAUAUCUUGCCUCUGGGGGGAAAAACAUUGAAAAUAAUCAUUUGAAACAGAUCCAGGAUAUCAAAGGGUGAUUCCAAUAUUCUCAAAGGGUACUUUGUUACAGGCACAAUCAGUUGUACCUCCCUCACCUUUCACACGUUGAUAGGGUUGCUCUAGCAGUAAGAAUUGUGUUCUCUAACUUCACUUAUACACGCUGAACAAAGGGAUUUAGUAAUGUGGGGUCGUCUCCUUCAAGUAUCCAGACUUCAUCCAUCCCGUGCGUUAUUAUUAUUUCACAUAUCAAAUACAUGUCCUCAGUCAAACAUUCCAGAGAUAGAGGCUGACGUGUGAACGAUGAGGGGGCUUGGUAGAAACACCUGGGCCAAACCAGGCAGUAGUUUCUGAAAAGUGGCAGAUUUACGAUCUCACUUUCAUCUCGUCUCAGCGACGAUAAGAAUAAGAGGAAG